AAAGUCGUAACAAGGUUUCCGUAGGUGAACCUGCGGAAGGAUCAUUAUUGAUUCUAAAUAGGAUGUGCUGGCUCCCUGAGAGGGGGGUAAUGUGCACUCUGAAAACCAACUUCAUUCACCCUGUGCACCCUUUUGUAGACAAGGCAGAGACAGGAGCAAUCCUUGCUGUGUUAUUGUCUAUGAUUUUUUGCUACACACACUACAAUUAUGUUGUUGGGUAAUUGAUAGAAAAAACACAAUACAACUUUCAACAAUGGAUCUCUUGGUUCUC
rnacentral:misc_RNA from 1 species